GUCCCUUUCAACCCAAACUAUUUGUGAUUAUCAACACAACGUGGGGUUUUAUAAGCUACAGAGGCAGUAAGCUGUUUGUGGGCUGAGUGGGGCAGAAGUGCUCUGACUCUGCAUCUAAACACUUGUAAAGAAUGUUGGGGCAUGUGCAGAAUACCUACUCCUUCUUUUGCUAAUGAACGGAAAAGUGGAAAGAGAACAGUGGGAUGAGAAAAGUCCUGCCAGCUCCAUUGAUAGAGUCCGUAGCACUCCAUGAGUAGGUACAAAAUUAAGGUAGUCUUUUUCCUCUGAAUCUUUGAUGGAAAAGUAUCAGAUCGCUACAUACAUUUGAAGUAAAUGGAAAUGACAGUGAAUUAGUUCAUAACAUUCUGCUGUUUUAUUUCAUGCCAUUUUUUUAAACCCUGAAACCCACAUGCAAAGCUAUAUUUGAUUUAGGGGCUUUAUAAUCACAGCUAGAUGAGUAGCUGAAAGUGUGGUGCAGAGCAGUCCCAGAAGCAGUCUGUGGUUGAGGAUGUCCCUCAGCUGCUGGUUGCAGGAUACUAAGAGGGCUUACAUUUUUUUUGUCCCCCUAAUACUGACCAUGAAAGCUUGCAGAUUGAAAGCUGUUUGCUUAAACCCAGCCCAGACUCUGAAGAUGAACUGGUGAGACACAAAUAGAAUGUGAUCAAGAAGCAAAGAAGGCAGAAAAGAAAGAAGACAAGAAGAAAGGCUUUGUAAUGUUGUGUAUAAGCAGAACCAGGAAACUUUCUUCUGUCAACAUGGAA